rnacentral:rRNA from 1 species
CCUACGGGAGGCAGCAGUGAGGAAUAUUGGUCAAUGGGCGAGAGCCUGAACCAGCCAAGUCGCGUGAGGGAAGACGGUCCUAUGGAUUGUAAACCUCUUUUGUCGGGGAGCAAAAGACGCCACGCGUGGCGUUCCGAGAGUACCCGAAGAAAAAGCAUCGGCUAACUCCGUGCCAGCCGCCGCGGUAAUACGGAGGAUGCGAGCGUUAUCCGGAUUUAUUGGGUUUAAAGGGUGCGCAGGCGGAAGCUCCAUGUCAGCGGUAAAAUGGCGGGGCCAACCCUCUCGGAGCCGUUGAAACUGGUCGUCUUGAGUGAGCGAGAAGUAUGCGGAAUGCGUGGUGUAGCGGUGAAAUGCAUAGAUAUCACGCAGAACUCCGAUUGCGAAGGCAGCAUACCGGCGCUCAACUGACGCUGAUGCACGAAAGUGUGGGGAUCGAACAGGAUUAGAUACCCGUGUAGUC